rnacentral:misc_RNA from 1 species
UCCGGCUUACCACCGGCGGUCCCAUUAGAGUGCCCAACUUAAUGAUGGCAACUAAUGGCGAGGGUUGCGCUCGUUGCGGGACUUAACCCAACAUCUCACGACACGAGCUGACGACAGCCAUGCAACACCUAACUGUAGGUUCCCCGAAGGGCACAUCGACCUUUCGACCGACUUCCUACCCAUGUCAAGGCCUGGUAAGGUUCUUCGCGUUGCCUCGAAUUAAACCACAUGCUCCACCGCUUGUGCGGGUCCCCGUCAAUUCCUUUGAGUUUUAAUCUUGCGACCGUACUCCCCAGGCGGAGUGCUUAAUGCGUUAGCGGCGCCACUGAAUCCUACGGACCCAACGGCUAGCACUCAUCGUUUACAGCGUGGACUAC